rnacentral:lncRNA from 1 species
CUUUCCCCAAAUCCCGAGAAGUUGCAGGCGGUCCCGCUCCGGGCGCCGUUCUCACGCAUGAGUCCUUCUGAAGAAAAGUUACAGAAAUAGAGGCCGCAGAUUUAAAUCAACGACCUAGAUGAAUCUGUUAUGGAAAUCGUUGAACAAGGGUUGCGGUGAGCCGGAGCAUACCUGGCAGCACAGGGCCGAGGGGCGAGGGGACACACUCAGGACGGGAUGCUGGUCCGUUGCAGGGCACCCCAAGCAGGGCUUGAGUCCCAGACCCAUCACACAGUGAGCAUUGGCUGAACCUGUCAUACUGCCACCCCCCCCCGAACCCCCCCGGCAUUUUAAAUCAUUUUUAAGUUUUAUUCUUUGGAAUAUUUCUGCAAAGAUUGUGAAAUAAUAUCCCCCCCCCAA